rnacentral:rRNA from 1 species
UACGGGGGGGGCAAGCGUUGUUCGGAAUUACUGGGCGUAAAGGGCUCGUAGGUGGCCAACUAAGUCAGACGUGAAAUCCCUCAGCUUAACUGGGGAACUGCGUCUGAUACUGGAUGGCUUGAGUUUGGGAGAGGGAUGCGGAAUUCCAGGUGUAGCGGUGAAGUGCGUAGAUAUCUGGAGGAACACCGGUGGCGAAGGCGGCAUCCUGGACCAACACUGACACUGAGGAGCGAAAGCCAGGGGAGCAAACGGG